rnacentral:rRNA from 1 species
GACGAACGCUGGCGGCGUGCCUAAUACAUGCAAGUCGAGCGGACAGAUGGGAGCUUGCUCCCUGAUGUUAGCGACGGACGGGUGAGUACCACGUGGGUAACCUGCCUGUAAGACUCCCAUAACUCCGGGAAACCGGGCCUAAUACCGGAUGGUUGUUUGAACCGCAUGGUUCAAACAUAAACGGUGGCUUCGGCUACCACUUACAGAUGGACCCGCGGCGCAUUAGCUAGUUGGUGAGGUAACGGCUCACCAAGGCGACGAUGCGUAGCCGACCUGAGAGGGUGAUCGGCCACACUGGGACUGAGACACGGCCCAGACUCCUACGGAAGGCAGCAGUAGGGAAUCUUCCGCAAUGGACGAAAGUCUGACGGAGCAACGCCGCGUGAGUGAUGAAGGUUUUCGGAUCGUAAAGCUCUGUUGUUACCCAAGAACAAGUACCGUUCGAAUAGGGCGGUACCUAGACGGCACCUAACCAGAAAGCCACGGCUAACUACGUGCCAGCAGCCGCGGUAAUACGUAGGUGGCAAGCGUUGUCCGGAAUUAUUGGGCGUAAAGGGCUCGCAGGCGGUUUCUUAAGUCUGAUGUGAAAGCCCCCGGCUCAACCGGGGAGGGUCAUUGGAAACUGGGGAACUUGAGUGCAGAAGAGGAGAGUGGAAUUCCACGUGUAGCGGUGAAAUGCGUAGAGAUGUGGAGGAACACCAGUGGCGAAGGCGACUCUCUGGUCUGUAACUGACGCUGAGGAGCGAAAGCGUGGG